rnacentral:lncRNA from 1 species
UCCGGUCUAAUAUAACAGGUGUCCUAAGAAGAGGAAAUUUGGAUAUUGACAUGAACAGAGCAAUGACCAUAUCAAGACACCAGAAGAAGACAACCAUCUAUAAGCCAAGGAGAGAGGCCUCAGAAAAAAUCAACCCCUUCGACACCUUGAUCUUGGACUUCUAGCUUCCAGAACUCUGCCAAAUGGAAGUCAUCAUCUUAUCUACAUCCUGGAGGAGGUUCCUGAGAAUGGAGUCAUUCUUGUGCACAGGGGCAAAGGUUUUCUUCUGCAAGAACAGAGUGACCAGAACUUCAGCUUGUUUGCUGCAAGUCCUACGUCCUAUGUGGCAUUCCUCAGGGGCAGUUAUCUAAAGGGUAGUCAGCAUUUCUAGGUCCAUCCAGUGGAAGCUGCUGACCUGAGUAUGGUUUCUUGCAUCUUCAGUUUAUACAGUCUCCAGUUCAAAUCAGAACCAAAUGCUAACCCCGUGUGGUGACCACAACCUUGUAUUGCAUUUGGAAUCAGCUCUUUUUCCUUCCACCUGCCCAGUGUUCUAUCCGAAUGCAUCUUUCUCUGACUUGUUUCCUCUAGUGGGGAGCUGGAGGGAUUCAAUCCUGGUGAAUCCCUCGUGGAGGACUCAGAUGCUGCACUUAGCUGCCCCCUCCCUUACUUGCAAACUGUGCACAGUGCCUGGGGCAGAAAGAGGAAAUGUGAUGCAGUUUGCUCUGUUAGCAUCUCCAGCAGGAAGAGUACAAAUAAAGGCAUUUUUCUUACUAAAGUUUGUUAAGCCUGGAUUCUUCCCUCCUCUCCUCCCAUAAAUAGCAUACUUAAUGGCCAAGUGGCUAAAGUCAUUCUAAUUGCUAAAGUUCAGCAGUGAGAUGGCCUUGAAUAGGGCUCCUGUCCCCAGUGUGUGUAUGACAGCAGUCCAAGGGCCUUAACUCUUCUCAAAGUCACCAGUAUUUAUUUUUGUUUUUAUGACUGAAAUGAGGCCUAAAGUUCUGCAAAGAGAGACCUGAUGAAAUGGUGGCCUUCCACCCACCACUAGACUGGGAGUUUGCACAGGACUGUGAGGGGAGUGGGUAGUAAAUUGCUGGUAUUGAUGAAUGUAGGAUUGAUUUCUCAUUUACCUUGAGACUCAUAUUACAUUUAAGAUCAUCUAGAUUGUGUUGAAGAAGAGGCACAAUACUCUUGGCAAACCUGAUGUAUUAAAAUAAAGCUGUCCCCUACAACCUCUCAGUCACACAUGGUAUUACUGUAGCCAAACCAGUGUGUGUCUCAGCCAUGGAGAUAGACUGCUCUUAACUUGCACAGCACCUUGAGGGAGCAGGCAAUAUAUGGAUAAGGAUCAGGGUACAGAAGGACCAAUGGGAAUGUUGUCAUCCUGGUGGUCAGAGCGUCUGGAGGAGGCAGAUGGACCUCACCAGGGAAGUUUCAUUGGGUCGGUUUUGUGCAGAAAUUUCCUAUAGCUAAAUUACCAACCCUCCAACUCCUCUCCCUGGUAUAUAAUGCCUGAAUGGAAUUAUAAUCAACUGCAUUGCAUCAAAAGCCUUAAAAUGAGUCAGAGGUUUCUCCCACCCAAUGCCAUUUCUCACCCUCUAAUCCUACCUAAUCUUUAACAAAACCGCAGUAAUUCUAAUGACAAUCUCUAUUUUGUUGGACUUUCUUAUAGCUGUUAAACUACUUGUGCUAUAAUAAAUAAAUAAUUAAUGAAUAAACCAACAAACAAAGGCCUGAAUAACAGGAAUGACAAGGACUAUUUUAGGACGAGAUUUUAGGGAAUUUGCUCUCCCACCAAUUCAAAUUAUCUAAAAGGCUAUAUUUAAAAAGAAUCAUUACACACAGCUAUGUUUAAGAAUAUUAAGGUAAGAAAUUUCUUAUACUUUAUGUGUGCACAGCAUCUGGUUCUUAGAGCAGAUUUGAGAUUGGACCUGCUUGAGAGUAUCCACUAUGAGUAAUUUUAUUUAUUUCUUUGUUUCCUCCCCACCCUUUCCUUUGCCCUCAUCUCUGUCUGGUUCAGAGACAAUGCUUGCUUCACACUUGCUUGGUAUUCUGG